GAUGAACGCUGGCGGCGUGCCUAAUACAUGCAAGUCGAGCGAACAGACGAGGAGCUUGCUCCUCUGACGUUAGCGGCGGACGGGUGAGUAACACGUGGAUAACCUACCUAUAAGACUGGGAUAACUUCGGGAAACCGGAGCUAAUACCGGAUAAUAUAUUGAACCGCAUGGUCCAAUAGUGAAAGACGGUUUUGCUGUCACUUAUAGAUGGAUCCGCGCCGCAUUAGCUAGUUGGUAAGGUAACGGCUUACCAAGGCAACGAUGCGUAGCCGACCUGAGAGGGUGAUCGGCCACACUGGAACUGAGGCACGGUCCAGACUCCUACGGGAGGCAGCAGUAGGGAAUCUUCCGCAAUGGGCGAAAGCCUGACGGAGCAACGCCGCGUGAGUGAUGAAGGUCUUCGGAUCGUAAAACUCUGUUAUUAGGGAAGAACAAAUGUGUAAGUAACUAUGCACGUCUUGACGGUACCUAAUCAGAAAGCCACGGCUAACUACGUG
rnacentral:rRNA from 1 species